UUUAUUCAGGAUGGGAUUUUAGUGGCAAGUUUAAUGUGUUUUUUUGUAAAACAAAUGUGUAGAAAAAAGGGUGGAAUGUAUAUUGACACUGUGAGACUGUGAGGUUUGGGCUCGUCUUGAGUGCUUUCUCUCGUCUGUUUGUUAGUUGUUGAGCUGCUGCUGCUUUGCCUUCACAUACCUUGCCUGAGAAGAAAGAGUCCCAAUUCUCUGGGCCUCGACCUCUGCACUGACGACAACCUCCACUGCGACGGUGCUCGUGUCGCCGCCUCUCCACUCUCCAAGCCCAAAGAUGACCAGCUGCUUGGGCAGAGGCAGCGGCAUGUGCACCUGGAAGCACCGUCGGUUGGAUUUGCUGUCAAAGGUCCGGUUGACUCCUAUAAUUCGACAGAAACCCGCCGACAAUGGAACCUCGUCUAUCGUAGACACCUACGCUUCUGAUGAGACGUCUCCUCUGAUUGGCUGAGAAGAGAAGCCGACGUGCAAAAUACACACCUGUGUGCAGCGGAUGAGGUGCAGUGUGAUUUUUGUCACAGAUGGACACAUUUUGAAUGUGCAGAAUAUG